GAUGAACGCUGGCGGCGUGCCUAAUACAUGCAAGUAGAACGCUGAAGGAGGAGCUUGCUCUUCUGGAUGAGUUGCGAACGGGUGAGUAACGCGUAGGUAACCUGCCUGGUAGCGGGGGAUAACUAUUGGAAACGAUAGCUAAUACCGCAUGACAACAGUUAUUGCAUGAUAACUGUUUAAAAGGGGCAACUGCUCCACUACCAGAUGGACCUGCGUUGUAUUAGCUAGUUGGUGAGGUAACGGCUCACCAAGGCGACGAUACAUAGCCGACCUGGGAGGGGGAUCGGCCACACUGGGACUUGGACCCGGCCCCGACUCCCUCGGGAGGCAGCCGUAGGGGAUCUUCGGCCAUGGGCGGAAGGCUGACCGGGCAACGCCGCGUGAGUGAAGAAGGUUUUCGGAUCGUAAAGCUCUGUUGUAAGAGAAGAACGAGUGUGAGAGUGGAAAGUUCACACUGUGACGGUAUCUUACCAGAAAGGGACGGCUAACUACGUG
rnacentral:rRNA from 1 species